rnacentral:rRNA from 1 species
AAUGGAGAGUUUGAUCCUGGCUCAGGACGAACGCUGGCGGCGUGCUUAACACAUGCAAGUCAAGGGGAAUCUUCAAUUCGUUGAAGUAGUACACUGGCGAACGGGUGAGUAACGCGUAGACAACCUGCCCGGUUGACUGGGAUAACCUCGUGAAAACGAGGCUAAUACCGGAUGAUAUCCAUGCGCUGUGGUGCAUGGAUCAAAGGAGGCUUCGGCUUCUACAAUCGGAUGGGUCUGCGUCUGAUUAGCUUGUUGGUGAGGUAAUGGCUCACCAAGGCGACGAUCAGUAGCUGGUCUGAGAGGAUGAUCAGCCACACUGGGAUUGAGAUACGGCCCAGACUCCUACGGGAGGCAGCAGUGGGGAAUUUUGCGCAAUGGGCGAAAGCCUGACGCAGCAACGCCGCGUGACUGAAGAAGCUCUGCGGAGUGUAAAAGUCUGUCAUAAGGGAAGAACAGUUCGGAGGUAAAUAAUCUUCGUUCUUGACGGUACCUUACAAGAAAGCACCGGCUAACUUAGUGCCAGCAGCCGCGGUAAUACUAGGGGUGCAAGCGUUGUCCGGAAUUACUGGGCGUAAAGGGUGCGUAGGCGUCUUUGUAAGUUGAUUGUUAAAUCCACCGGCUUAACCGGUGUCCUGCAAUCAAAACUGCAGAGAUAGAGUAAGAGAGAGGAAAGUAGAAUUCCUGGUGUAGCGGUGACAUGCGUAGAUAUCAGGAGGAAUACCGAAGGCGAAGGCAGCUUUCUGGCUCUUAACUGACG